rnacentral:rRNA from 1 species
UGCACGAGUUGUUAUGUGCAGUCUGGCCUGCCCCCUGAAAUUUUUAAAGGGCCGCGGUAUUUGGACCGUGCUAAGGUAGCAUAAUAAAUAGUCUUUUAAUUGAAGUCUAGUAUGAAUGGUCGGACACGAAGUAGGCUGUUUCAGCUCUGAUGUUUGAAUUUUACUUUUAAGUGAAAAGGCUUAAAUUAAAUGGUGGGACGAUAAGACCCUAUAAAGCUUUACAUUUUACUUUUAAGUUGUGGGAUCUAAGGUUUUCUAUUCUUGCCGGGUAAAGUGUUUCGUUGGGGCGACGGGAAUAUAAAAAAGUAACUGUUUUUGGUUGAAAAAUAUAUUUUUAUAGGUGAAUUGAUCCUUUUUAAAGAUUAUAAGAUCUAAGUUACUUUAGGGAUAACAGCGUAAUUUAUCUUGAGAGUUCAUAUCGACAGAUAUAGUUGCGACCUCGAUGUUGAAUUAAAAUACCCCCCAGGUGUAGCAGUUUUGGUGGUAGGUCUGUUCGACCUUUAAAAUUUUACAUGAUUUGAGUUCAGACCGGCGUG